UACGAAGGGGGCUAGCGUUGCUCGGAAUCACUGGGCGUAAAGCGCACGUAGGCGGGUUGUUAAGUCAGGGGUGAAAUCCUGGAGCUCAACUCCAGAACUGCCUUUGAUACUGGCAAUCUUUGAGUCCGGGAGAGGUGGGUGGAACUGCGAGUGUAGAGGUGAAAUUCGUAGAUAUUCGCAAGAACACCAGUGGCGAAGGCGGCUCACUGGCCCGGUACUGACGCUGAGGUGCGAAAGCGUGGGGAGUAAACAGG
rnacentral:rRNA from 1 species